GAUGAACGCUGGCGGAGUGCAUAAUACAUGCAAGUCGAGCGAAGCGGGGACGGGUGAGUAACACGUGGAUAACCUCCUAUAAGACUGGGAUAACUUCGGGAAAUCGGAGCUACACCGGACCCUUAUAGAUGCAACCGCGCUGCAUUAGCUAGUGGGUAAGGUAACGGCUUACAAAGGCAACGAUGCAUAGCCGACCGGCGAGGGGGAACGGCCACACUAGAACUGAGACGCGGUCCAGACUCCGUCUGGAGGCCUCAGUAGGGAAUCUUACGCAAUGGGCGAAAGCCUGACGGAGCAACGCCGCGGGAGUGAGGAGGGGCUUCGGAGCGUAAAACUCUGUUAUUAGGUAGACGGUACCUAAUCAGAAAGCCACGGCUAACUACGUGCCAGCAGCCGCGGUAAUAC
rnacentral:rRNA from 1 species